rnacentral:ncRNA from 1 species
UCGGUCCUCGGUAGUGGCCCCCGGGUGUCUAGCGCCCCCGUGGUCCUCGAUCGAAGACCG